rnacentral:misc_RNA from 1 species
UAAAAGCAGUAGUGUUUUGGUCUGCAAGAGAAGCGGGGUCAAUUAUAGAGUUAAGUGGAGUAUAUGAAAGUUUAUUCCAUAACUUGCUGAUUCAUUUUAUGCCAAAGAUGUAUAUACAACCAACCCAGUUGGAGCGCCAAUAUAUACUAUACAUGGUAGUAAAAAUCAAGCCAUCAAAGGUUUUCUUCUUCCAAAUCAAUGGGAAAUCACUUGAUAAAACUUAAAUAAAUUGUACAUUAAUGUCCAAAUCCAAAUAGGGUCCAUUAUGUGUUUGAACACAAAAGCUCCAUGACACAAGGUCUCAUCUAAUUUUCAUGUCUCUGUACAUAACAGUUACUAUGAAACUUUUAGGUUCUCGGUCAAUCAAUAUCAAUCAAAUCAAGCUCAGCCAAAUAAAAUAUCUUCAGUUUUUGGGGAAGUUGCAGGAUAUAAUUUAGAUAUAUAAGAUCUGGCUAGCAAAUUACACAUUAAUUCAUUUUAAUUCGAGUUUAUAUAAGUGAUUAAAUUGCUCUACACAUCAAAAUGACUAGUCAAGACAAUACAACAAUCUAACCACUUAUAUUCAUCCUUUCAUUUUUAUACUUUAUCGAUGUGGAAUUUAUAAUCCCAACACUCUCCCUUCAAGUACAACCACAUGGUUGUUACUUAACAAUUAGGGUGCAUUUGGUACAAGGUUAAAAAAUUGAGCUCACAUGAAAA